rnacentral:rRNA from 1 species
UCCACGCCGUAAACGAUGAUAACUAGCUGUCCGGGUUCAUGGAACUUGGGUGGCGCAGCUAACGCAUUAAGUUAUCCGCCUGGGGAGUACGGUCGCAAGAUUAAAACUCAAAGGAAUUGACGGGGGCCUGCACAAGCGGUGGAGCAUGUGGUUUAAUUCGAAGCAACGCGCAGAACCUUACCAGCCUUUGACAUCCUAGGACGACUUCUGGAGACAGAUU